UCGGGUGUGUAUAGAGUGGCGAACGGGUGAGUAACACGUGACCAACCUGCCUCUUACAUUGGGACAACCAAAAGAAAUUCUGGCUAAUACCAAAUACUCCGCACAUAUCACAUGAUGUAUGCGGGAAAGCUUUUGCGGUAAGAGAUGGGGUCGCGGCCCAUUAGGUAGACGGCGGGGUAGAAGCCCACCGUGCCGAUGAUGGGUAGCCGGGUUGAGAGACCGACCGGCCACAUUGGGACUGAGAUACGGCCCAGACUCCUACGGGAGGCAGCAGUGGGGAAUAUUGCGCAAUGGGGGAAACCCUGACGCAGCAACGCCGCGUGCGGGAUGAAGGCCUUCGGGUUGUAAACCGCUUUCAGCAGGGAAGACAUCGACGGUACCUGCAGAAGAAGCCCCGGCUAACUACGUGCCAGCAGCCGCGGUAAUACGUAGGGGGCGAGCGUUAUCCGGAUUCAUUGGGCGUAAAGCGCGCGCAGGCGGUUGCUCAAGCGGAACCUCUAAUCUCGGGGCUUAACCUCGAGCCGGGUUCCGAACUGGACGACUCGAGUGCGGUAGAGGCAGAUGGAAUUCCCGGUGUAGCGGUGGAAUGCGCAUAUAUCGGGAAGAACACCAACGGCAAAGGCAGUCUUGCUGGGCCGUCACUG
rnacentral:rRNA from 1 species